UUGGCUGUGGAAAUUGCGUUGAAUGAGAGACAAUUUCGCACGUUGAGCACACAGUUGUGUGACUCGUUUAUUGAGUUAGAGAAAACAGGAAAUCAAAACGUGCUGCAAGUAAACAAAUCCCGCAUCGGGCUCUGACGUCAUGAGACGCUCGUAAUCCUUAAAAGGGACAGCGAUCCCUGAACCACCAAGACAGUAAACGACAUGCCUAACACAGUGGAAAGAACAACACAUAACAAAAUACUGCAGGUGAAUUAUGUUACACUCACUACAAGGCAAUCUUUUUGUAAAUAGGCAGGAACAUUACGGAACAUUUUCAAACAACAAUCCAGAUUCCGAUAUCUCAUCACUCUGCAAACUCCCAUGUGCCCAUCUGAAUUUCAGGCAACCCCAAGUUUAGGAGCUCACCUGGGUGAACGGUCAGCUCUGUGGUGGUAGGAAGGAUGAUUUGGAUAUCCUGAUUAGCCGGCUGCUCUGCAGGGGGAUAACCACAAAGAGAUAAGAGACCAUUAAUACACCAUUAUGAUGCACAUUAAUGCUGGGACGACGCGUCGACGUAAUCGAUGACGUCGACGCAUAAAUUACGUCGACGCGAAAAAUGCGCGUUGAUUAAAAAAGAAAAAAAGAAAAAAAAAAACACACUCGUUCCUCUAAAGUAUGGGAAUUCUUUAAUGUGAAAGGAAACGAUUCCGUGAUACGUCGUCUUUGCAAAAUGGAGAUGACUUUACAUUCUAGCACCCCGGCAAUUCACCAGCACCUGAAGAGGCGCCACCCGGUAGCAGCUGCAGAUGACCGAGCACCGUAGAAUUCUAAGAAUGCAUUACUUUGCACUUUUAUUUUGGAAUUUAAAGGCAAUAAACAUGUAUUGAAAUGUUAA